AAACACAUAAGGUCUCCAUACCCCGUCCGGUAUGAGAGACCACAAUCCCGGUAGGGUUCCCUACGGACCCAGUCCGUCCACCAUCUCCCAGGAUAUCUAGUCAGGCUGACCACAUUAUACAAUUAUCAAUUUACAUAACAUUUCAUUCCCCUUUUCCUCAGUCAGCAUCAUCAAUUCACACACAAACAAGCAAACCAGUAAUUUAUGCCAAAUAAGACAACAUACAACAUCGGGUUCUCAGUCAUUCAACCCAUAAUCAAUAAAAUAGUGAUAUAUGCACACGAAACUAUGAAAUGAAAACAUCAGACCCCAUACUGCAUUUAAAACCGUAAAAUAGGACAAACAACAGCUGACCGACAAACACACCAGACUCGGGCUCCAUUAGCGACCUUAAACAAUUUUACACAUCUAUUGAUUCAUGAAAUACCGUUUUAUCAUUUAUUGAACUUUAAUACCGAGAUAAGAAAUAGGGUGAGGGGUCCUUACUUGUUUCGGGGUCCGAACACGGCUCCACAGUACGCCUACAAGCUGUCCCUAAUUUUUCCUGAAUUUUUUCUGGGGAACUGAAACGUACUACUGGUACCUGCACGUGUCCCAAAAAAUCCCAAAUUAGACCCAGGGCCCCUUUCGGCCAAUAUCGCAAUUCCGGCACGGCGGCUCCGUCGUGCUCCGAUUCGCCUC
rnacentral:lncRNA from 1 species